AACCCCCCGCGUGGCGGCACCUCGCUGAAUCCCCCAGGGCCGGAAGGCAGCAAGGGCAGGUGAGCUCUGUCGGGUGCGCGGGGGGCCCUG
rnacentral:SRP_RNA from 1 species